AGAAGGGAGCUUGCUUCCGGAUGUAGCGGCGGACGGUGAGUAACACGUGGGUAACCGCCUGUAAGACUGGGAUAAUCCGGGAAACCGGAGCUAAUACGGAUAGUUCCCUGAACCGCAUGGUUCAAGGAUGAAAGACGGUUUCGGCUGUCACUUACAGAUGGACCGCGGCGCAUAGCUAGUUGGUGGGGUAAUGGCUCACCAGGGCGACGAUGCGUAGCCGACCUGAGAGGGUGAUCGGCCACACUGGGAUGAGACACGGCCCAGACUCCUACGGGAGGCAGCAGUAGGGAAUCUUCCGCAAUGGACGAAAGUCUGACGGAGCAACGCCGCAUGAGUGAUGAAGGUUUCGGAUCGUAAGCUCUGUUGUUAGGGAAGAACAAGUGCGAGAGUAACUGCUCGCACCUUGACGGUACCUAACCAGAAAGCCACGGCAAUACGUGCCAGCAGCCGCGGUAAUACGUAGGUGGCCAGCGUUGUCCGGAAUUAUUGGGCGUAAAGGGCUCGCNGGCGGUUUCUUAAGUNUGAUGUGAAAGCCCCCGGCUCNACCGGGGAGGGUCAUUGGAAACUGGGAAACUUGAGUGCAGAAGAGGAGAGUGGAAUUCCACGUGUAGCGGUGAAAUGCGUAGAGAUGUGGAGGAACACCAGUGGCGAAGGCGACUCUCUGGUCUGUAACUGACGCUGAGGAGCGAAAGCGUGGGGAGCGAACAGGAUUAGAUACCCUGGUAGUCCACGCCGUAAACGAUGAGUGCUAAGUGUUAGGGGGUUUCCGCCCNUUAGUGCUGCAGCUAACGCAUUAAGCACUCCGCCUGGGGAGUACGGUCGCAAGACUGAAACUCAAAGGAAUUGACGGGGGCCCGCACAAGCGGUGGAGCAUGUGGUUUAAUUCGAAGCAACGCGAAGAACCUNACCAGGUCUUGACAUCCUCUGACAACCCUAGAGAUAGGGCUUUCCCUUCGGGGACAGAGUGACA
rnacentral:rRNA from 1 species